CGGCGAGUGAAGCGGCAACAGCUCAAAUUUGAAAUCUGGCUCCUGCGGGGCCCGAGUUGUAAUUUGUAGAAGAUGCUUUGAGCGUGGCUCCGGUCUAAGUUCCUUGGAACAGGACGUCAUAGAGGGUGAGAAUCCCGUAUGUGACUGGGUGCCUCCGUUCGUGUAAAGCUCUUUCGACGAGUCGAGUUGUUUGGGAAUGCAGCUCAAAAUGGGUGGUAAAUUUCAUCUAAAGCUAAAUAUURGCCAGAGACCGAUAGCGCACAAGUAGAGUGAUCGAAAGAUGAAAAGCACUUUGGAAAGAGAGUUAAACAGUACGUGAAAUUGUUGAAAGGGAAGCGCUUGCAACCAGACUUGCCCGCUGCUGAUCAUCCGAGGUUCUCCCCGGUGCACUCGGCAGCGAUCAGGCCAGCAUCGGUUCUGGUGGGCGGAUAAAGGCCUUGGGAAUGUAGCUUCCUUCGGGGAGUGUUAUAGCCCUCGGUGCAAUGCGCCCUACCGGGACCGAGGACCGCGCUUCGGCUAGGAUGCUGGCGUAAUGGUUGUAAGCGACCCGUCUUGAAACACGGACCAAGGAGUCUAACAUCUAUGCGAGUGUUUGGGUGUCAAACCCAUACGCGUAAUGAAAGUGAACGGAGGUGAGAACCCUUAAGGGUGCAUCAUCGACCGAUCCUGAUGUCUUCGGAUGGAUUUGAGUAAGAGCAUAGCUGUUGGGACCCGAAAGAUGGUGAACUAUGCCUGAAUAGGGUGAAGCCAGAGGAAACUCUGGUGGAGGCUCGCAGCGGUUCUGACGUGCAAAUCGAUCGUCAAAUUUGGGUAUAGGGGCGAAAGACUAAUCGAACCAU
rnacentral:rRNA from 1 species